GGUCUGUCAAGUCGGAUGUGAAAUCCCCGGGCUUAACCUGGGAACUGCAUUCGAAACUGGCAGGCUAGAGUCUUGUAGAGGGGGGUAGAAUUCCAGGUGUAGCGGUGAAAUGCGUAGAGAUCUGGAGGAAUACCGGUGGCGAAGGCGGCCCCCUGGACAAAGACUGACGCUCAGGUGCGAAAGCGUGGGGAGCAAACAGGAUUAGAUACCCUGGUAGUCCACGCCGUAAACGAUGUCGAUUUGGAGGUUGUGCCCUUGAGGCGUGGCUUCCGGAGCUAACGCGUUAAAUCGACCGCCUGGGGAGUACGGCCGCAAGGUUAAAACUCAAAUGAAUUGACGGGGGCCCGCACAAGCGGUGGAGCAUGUGGUUUAAUUCGAUGCAACGCGAAGAACCUUACCUGGUCUUGACAUCCACAGAACUUUCCAGAGAUGGAUUGGUGCCUUCGGGAACUGUGAGACAGGUGCUGCAUGGCUGUCGUCAGCUCGUGUUGUGAAAUGUUGGGUUAAGUCCCGCAACGAGCGCAACCCUUAUCCUUUGUUGCCAGCGGUCCGGCCGGGAACUCAAAGGAGACUGCCAGUGAUAAACUGGAGGAAGGUGGGGAUGACGUCAAGUCAUCAUGGCCCUUACGACCAGGGCUACACACGUGCUACAAUGGCAUAUACAAAGAGAAGCGACCUCGCGAGAGCAAGCGGACCUCAUAAAGUAUGUCGUAGUCCGGAUUGGAGUCUGCAACUCGACUCCAUGAAGUCGGAAUCGCUAGUAAUCGUAGAUCAGAAUGCUACGGUGAAUACGUUCCCGGGCCUUGUACACACCGCCCGUCACACCAUGGGAGUGGGUUGCAAAAGAAGUAGGUAGCUUAACCUUCGGGAGGGCGCUUACCACUUUGUGAUUCAUGACUGGGGUGAAGUCGUAACAAGGUAACCGUAGGGGAACCUGCGGUUGGAUCACCUCCUUACCUUAAAGAA
rnacentral:rRNA from 1 species